GUGCCAGCAGCCGCGGUAAUACCGGCAGCUCGAGUGAUGGCCGAUUUUAUUGGGCCUAAAGCGUCCGUAGCUGGCCGCGCAAGUCCAUCGGGAAAUCCACCUGCUCAACAGGUGGGCGCCCGGUGGAAACUGUGCGGCUUGGGACCGGAAGGCGCGACGGGUACGUCCGGGGUAGGGGUGAAAUCCCGUAAUCCUGGACGGACCGCCGGUGGCGAAAGCACGUCGCGAGAACGGGUCCGACAGUGAGGGACGAAAGCCAGGGUCUCGAACCGGAUUAGAUACCCCGGUAGUCC
rnacentral:rRNA from 1 species